rnacentral:rRNA from 1 species
GGAUCCAGACUUUGAUUAUGGCUCAGGAUGAACGCUAGCUACAGGCUUAACACAUGCAAGUCGAGGGGCAGCGGGAUUGAAGCUUGCUUCAAUUGCCGGCGACCGGCGCACGGGUGAGUAACGCGUAUCCAAUCUUCCGUACACUCAGGGAUAGCCUUUCGAAAGAAAGAUUAAUACCUGAUAGUAUCUUAAGCACACAUGUAAUUAAGAUUAAAGAUUUAUCGGUGUACGAUGGGGAUGCGUUCCAUUAGGUAGUAGGCGGGGUAACGGCCCACCUAGCCAACGAUGGAUAGGGGUUCUGAGAGGAAGGUCCCCCACAUUGGAACUGAGACACGGUCCAAACUCCUACGGGAGGCAGCAGUGAGGAAUAUUGGUCAAUGGACGAGAGUCUGAACCAGCCAAGUAGCGUGAAGGAUGAAGGUCCUACGGAUUGUAAACUUCUUUUAUAAGGGAAUAAACCCUCCCACGUGUGGGAGCUUGUAUGUACCUUAUGAAUAAGCAUCGGCUAACUCCGUGCCAGCAGCCGCGGUAAUACGGAGGAUGCGAGCGUUAUCCGGAUUUAUUGGGUUUAAAGGGAGCGCAGACGGGUCGUUAAGUCAGCUGUGAAGGUUUGGGGCUCAACCUUAAAAUUGCAGUUGAUACUGGCGUCCUUGAGUGCGGUUGAGGUGUGCGGAAUUCGUGGUGUAGCGGUG